UUAAACCAUUCCUCUACACAAAAUCUUUCCAGAUCCUACAAAUUUAAAGAGGAAAGUUCACCAGCAUCGACCUUGAAAUUCGUAGGAUCUGGAAAGAUUUGGUGUAGAGGAAUGGUCUCAAAUCAGU
rnacentral:miRNA from 1 species